GUCAAACUUAGAUCUUGAGAAGUUUAGUUAAUUAAAACAAUCUUAGUUAUUUAAAAUUAUUAGUAUUGGUUAAAGAAAUUAAAAGAAUAUCUCUAUAGUGAAUUAGUACUGUGAAGGAAAGUUAUUUAAAUUAAGGUAUAAAGAAGAAGAUAUAAGAAAUCGUACCUUGUGUAUUAGGGUUUAGCAAAUUAUUUUAAUUAUUUAGGUUUCCCGAAAAGAAGUGAGCUAUUUAAAUUAAAUUUUGUAUGUAGUAACAUGCUAAUAAAAUUUUAAAUUGAAAUUAAAGGUUAAACGAACUUCUAUAUCUGGUUCUCUAAGAAAGUAAUUUAAUUACGUAGUUUAAUGAUUUUUUCAUCUUUCGAUGUUAUAAUUAGUUAAACUAAAAAGUUGCAAAGGGAUGAGCUUUUGUAAUAAUAAAAAAUUAUGAAUAAAGAUUUGAAAGAUGUUAUUGAAUCAAGGAUUAGAAGUAUCCUAGAUUAAAGGUGUGUUAUAACUUACAAUAUUUCUUAUAAUAUUUAAUAAACUUUUUCAUUUUAUAUUAGAGUAAAUACUUGAUUAAAUUAGGUAUAGUAAUGAUGUUAAAAUUAGUAGAAUAAACUGUUUCAUAAUUUUUUAUUGUGAAGAUUUGGUAAAGGAACUCGGCAAAUAUUUUUCCGCCUGUUUAUCAAAAACAUCGCCUCUUGAACAAUAUUGGAGGUACUGCCUGCUCAAUGCUCUUGUAAAUAGCCGCAGUAUUUUGACUGUGCUAAGGUAGCAUAAUCAUUAGUCUUUUAAUUGAAGGCUGGUAUGAAUGGCAAGACGAGAAAAAAGCUGUCUCUAUCAAAAAUCUUGAAUUUCAUUUUUUAGUGCAAAAGCUAAAAUAAUUUUAAAGGACGAUCAGACCCUAUGGAGUUUUAGUUUUUAUUAGUAGUGUAUUAUUUUUUGAUAUUUGCUAUUAAUAAAGACUUUUGUUGGGGCGACAAGAAGCUAAAUGUAACUCUUCUUAAAUUAAACUAAUUUAAAAGGAUACUUGAUCCCUAAAGUGGGAUUAAAAGACUAAGUUACCCUAGGGAUAACAGCAUAAUCUUUUUGGAGAGUUCUUAUCGAUAAAAAGGUUUGUGACCUCGAUGUUGGAUUAAGAGUUUAGUGGGGGGCAGUAAUUCCACUGUAAAGUCUGUUCGACUUUUAAUAUCUUACAUGAUCUGAGUUCAAACCGGUGUAAGCCAGGUUGGUUUCUAUCCUUAAAAUAAAAUUUUACUUCUAGUACGAAAGGACCGAAGUAAGUUAAUAAUUAAUAUUUUAUGAAUUAAAUUAAAUAAAUAAAACUUUUGUCAGUCUGACAGAUA
rnacentral:rRNA from 1 species